GAUGGCGGUUCCCACUGAGGACUAUGCGUAACACCAACUGUGCUGGGAAAAGUGAAUGGUUCCCCCAGACUUCAGUGAUCCAGGCAGCUGUGGGCAUUUUCUCUUGUUUCCAAAAUUAGUAAGUCAGGGCACAAUUUCUGACAGAUCCAGUUGUCAGGGGAAAGACAGGAGCAGAGAAUCUCUCAAAAAGAGGUAUGAAGAAAAAAGGCUAUAGAGUCCUGCCAGGGCAACAGUCAACCCUGCAGUGAACAGGAGCCUUGGUUAACCCUGUGUCCUAAACCCAGGGCACUGCUCCUGCAGCAUCUUCUAGACAGGAGAUUAAAUUCCUAUCAAAGCAACUCGGUCCAGACCUAAAUGUUCCCAGAGUCUUAAAGCUUCUUCUGAAAAGUUUUUGUCAAUUCUGUAGUCCUGUAACACGCAAAUGUGACAAAAAUAAGUUUUUAAAAAACUUUUUCCUACAUGGUGAAGGUAAGAAAUUGUCCACAACAAGAGGCUUCAAGUGUAAACUUUUAGGAAGUACCUCUCUGCCUCGUACACACUCCCCCCUCGCUAGCUCAAGUGACCAAUCAGAUACCUUAAUCCCAUCUCCAUGGCCCAGUGAGCAGUAUGGAUGUGGAAAAACCAGUCAACAGUGAGCUCAGGCAUUUUAAUGAGACGUAGCCAGCUGGAGCCCACUCCUCCUCCAGCCAGGUCAAAUGCUGCCCCAGCUAGCCCAGGUUGGGAGAAACCACCUCCUCCCUGAAUCCAAAUAAAACCUCCUGAGACCUACAUAACCUACUCUACUGUCCAGCCACUAUGGAAACCAGGAGAAAUGCAGGCUGUGUGGAGAGCA
rnacentral:lncRNA from 1 species